rnacentral:lncRNA from 1 species
CUCACAGUAGAUACUGUCCCCUCCCUGUGGGUGGUGUAUUGGCCCUGAAGAGAUGGAAGCUUCCUUCCCCCAGGGAAGGGAAGGGGGUGCUUGUGGAGAGACCCGGGGCUGGACAAAGGCUGGGGGUGGUGGAACUGGCUGGAGCCCAGGGUGGCAUCGCCCCACCACCUCUCUAAGACCCCUCCUCCUCACCUUGCACACCACUGGUUCAUGUUCACCCCCACCAACUACGGCUCAGGUCCGCGGUGCUGUGUGAGUGACACCCUGAGGCAGAGAGAAGGUUUGAGUGACACCCGGGUUAUGAUAUUCUGACACCCACGUGCUCCGUGGAGAAGGUGCAGGGCCGGCAAUGUUAAUAAGACUCAAGUCUUCGCUUUAGCUAGACACGAAAAGAGGAGAGGAAUAUGAAAAACGGAGGAGGAAGAGGCAGAGCAAUAAAGAAAAUGGAAAUCUUCAGAUGUUCGGGGAGACUACUCCCCAGAAGUGGGCGAAGCACUAAGGAAAUGAACCGGAGAAGCGCACAAAGCUUAGCUUUCAAAGACCAGAAGUUUCCUCGGGGGCAAAAAAGGGCAGAGCUGUCCUGUAGAGCAAUUCUUUCCUUACUUCUUGCAGAUGAGUGGAAUGUUAACCAGAGGGACCAGAGACAACAGUCCGGCUUCACACACAGCUUCUCCAGCUGGCCAGCCCCGUCCCUGUGACGCUGCAGGGCACUUCAGGCACUGGGCAGGGUUGUCAGGAUGCAGGGAAUGUGAUGGCGCUCUUUGUCUCUCUCUGACCAAGUAGAUAAUGGCCGUCACUCACUGACCAUUUAGUGAAUGUCAGGCUCUGUGCUGAGUUUUGCACACACCUCUCUUCCUUUAGAGAUUGCAUCAGCUCUAGGAGCCAGGUUCUACUUACCCCCAUUUUGCAGAUGACGUCCCAGAGUUAUGUCACGUGCUGGAGCCUUCUACACUGCUGGGCGGGUCGGAUUAGAAGGUGGGAUUCAGCUGCAGACGCUCCACACCCUCCUGCUCUCAUGACUGAGGUGGCAUCUUGUUGCUCAUGUUCAAGUCCAUGGGUCCCUGGGUCCAGAGAAAACCAAGCUCUUAUGUUUCGGGGAAAAUGCUCGCAGAACAAGCUACUCGCCACCCAAGGUUUCGCCGUAUUUGGACCUAGUCAUGAACGAAGACAUCUUCCACGCCGUCGUGCCCUGGUCACUGUGAGGAGACACGGCUGGGGCCGGCCGAGAGAGGCCCGGGUUCUCUGUGCUCUGUCUGAAGAAUAACAGUGUUCCCCAGGACUCCUGGGGAGUGGCCUCCUUGGCGUUCUUCUCCUUUGCCUUUGAGAAGGGGCCUGUCUUCUGAGUGGAGCAGAAUUAGAAUGGCAGGGACCCUCCCUUUCUCCUCCUUUCCUUGCGGGAGGGGCCUGUUUGCCUCUGCUCUUUCCUUAUGCCAGCCAAGCACUGUGCAUGUGUGUGUGUAUGUGUGUGUGGGUGUGUGUGUGUGUGUUGUGUGUGUGUGUAGGGAGAGAAGCCUCAAGAGAAUUGCCCAUGAGGUUCAAGGGUGACUCAGGGUCAUGGGCCAGGUGUCUGUUUCUAAUGGCAUGGGGACGUGAUGGGCCCACCCUCCUGAGGCGGACAGGACAGGCUUCCAUCAGUAUCUCUUGGUUUGGGGAGGGCCAUGAAGGCACCUGGGAGGCUCUAUGAUCCCACCAUCCAGUAUCUGCGGGAGCCAGCAGGCCGCCCUGGGGAGAGAAGAGCACAUUCUGGAAGAGGCUCCCUCGAGACACCGCAGCCCCUCCCCGAGGGUGAGGCCUGGCUGCCGCCCUCUCUCUGCCCGGGCUCUGAGAUGCAGGCUAUGAGCUCAUUAGCACUGAGAAAACCGUAUCUAUCUGUGAUCGCGUUUACCUGAAAUUGCACCGCUGUGGCCAGAAGUGGCUGAGAAAUUAUCAGGAGGGCCAAAGACACAUUUAUUUGGGAAGACCAAGCUCUCUUCCCUCCACUACCCUCUUCCCGCAGCUAACUUCUCUGUUACUGCGGAGGGGUUGGGUACUCAGCAAAAUUACUAGCAGUGAACAUAAACGAAAAGUUUCAGGCUGGCGCCUGGCUGAACAGAAGCUGCUCAACUUGUACCUAUUUUAUUUGGCAGUCUUGCCGGGAACCGCUUAGAAGCUGGGGAAGUUGUUAUGUGUCCUGUGGGCUGCUUGCCACCCUGGACUGCCAUCGGAGAGCCUGGCCUUUGUGAAGUCAGAGCAGGGGCCUGGGAGGGAAAAGGUUGCAGGGGCAA